GGUUCCUACGGGACGCAGCAGUGGGGAAUAUUGGGCAAUGGGCGAAAGCCUGAUGCAGCAACGCCGCGUGAAGGAAGACGGUUUUCGGAUUGUAAACUUCUGUUCUUAGUGAAGAAUAAUGACGGUAACUAAGGAGCAAGCCACGGCUAACUACGUGCCAGCAGCCGCGGUAAUACGUAGGUGGCAAGCGUUAUCCGGAUUUACUGGGUGUAAAGGGCGUGUAGGCGGGAGAGCAAGUCAGACGUGAAAUUCCAGGGCUCAACCCUGGAACUGCGUUUGAAAC
rnacentral:rRNA from 1 species